AUACGGAGGUGGCAAGCGUUGUUCGGAUUUAUUGGGUGUAAAGGGUAUGUAGGUGGUUAGAUAAGUCGAGCGUGAAAUCCAUUGGCUCAACCAAUGAACUGCACUCGAAACUGUUUAACUUGAGUUCAGGAGAGGAAAGCGGAAUUCCAGGUGUAAGAGUGAAAUCUGUAGAGAUCUGGAGGAACACCAGUGGCGAAGGCGGCUUUCUGGACUGACACUGACACUGGAAUACGAAAGCUAGGGGAGCAAACAGGAUUAGAAACCCCAGUAGUCC
rnacentral:rRNA from 1 species